rnacentral:lncRNA from 1 species
CCGUUCUCUUCAUAUCCUCGAUCUAGAUCUGUUCGAGUCGUACUCUUUGUUCAAACCCCUCGACGAAAAUUCCUUCCACAAAUCACAGCUGACAGCUCGAGUCAGCGGUCCGUGUCCCGGCCCAUAUGACACGCCGCGCACGCUGACUCCGGGGUCCGCCGGAACAGCCUACAAACGACACACAAAUUACGCCUCUGUGUGACAACUGCAGAAAUAACACAGCACUGCUGCUGCUGCUGCUGCUGCCGGAGACCGAGCUCUAGCCCACACCGGGGUGAGUCAGACGGGCGACACCGAAUUUGUCAAGAUCGGGCCGAUUUACCUCCCGUCGCUUCGGGCCUCGAGGCCUCUUCCCUCGCGGUGGAAAAGCUUUGCAGAAACGGCUCGCGUCAGCCUGCGAAGAUGCGCGUCAGAGUGGGCCCCUAUCUUCAAUAGUUCCCGGGUGGCUCUCAUGGUGAAGAUGCUUUUCCUGCACCUGAUUCCUCUAGCUGAGGCUCAAGGUCGAGUUGUGUCACCCUCCUACUGCAUCUCCUUGAGUUCUGCUCCAUCAGACACACUGUAAUUGCCAUUAUUCUUCCACUCUGUCCUGGGUCCCUCUGCCUCCAUCCGCCCAUUCAGGUGCUUGCAGGUUGCUUCUGUCAGUAAUGAAAGAUGCACUGUGUUUGACCUGCACUCUGUAAAUAACAGCGCUCCCCUAGCACAGAGUGUUGUUUUUCUGUCUCAAAAAUCUAAAGGAGAAGAAAAAAAAAAAAAGCAUACAAAUUCAAGAAAAUAAAUAAAUAAAUAAAUAAAGGAAACA